rnacentral:rRNA from 1 species
GACGAACGCUGGCGGCGUGCUUAACACAUGCAAGUCGAACGGGCCUGUCUUCUUUUUUGGGGGUGGGUUGAGUGGCGAACGGGUGAGUAUCACGUGAGUAACCUGCCCUUCGGUCCUGGAUAACCGCUUGAAAGGGCGGCUAAUACGGGGUGGUCCGGUUGGUCCGCAUGGGCUUGUCGGGAUAGAUUCACUGUUUUUGGUGUUUCGGCGGGGGAUGGGCUCGCGGCCUAUCAGCUUGUUGGUGGGGUGAUGGCCUACCAAGGCGGUGACGGGUAGCCGGCCUGAGAGGGUGGGCGGCCACACUGGGACUGAGAUACGGCCCAGACUCCUGCGGGAGGCAGCAGUGGGGGGUAUUGCACAAUGGGCGGAAGCCUGAUGCAGCGACGUCGCGUGAGGGAGGGAGGCCUUCGGGUUGUGAACCUCUGUUUCCGGUGGUGAAGGCCCUGUCCGUGUGGUGGGGUUGACGGUAGCCGGGGAUGAAGCGCCGGCUAACUACGUG